UACGUAGGGUGCGAGCGUUGUCCGGAAUUAUUGGGCGUAAAGAGCUCGUAGGCGGCCUGUUGCGUCGGUUGUGAAAGCCCGGGGCUUAACCCCGGGUCUGCAGUCGAUACGGGCAGGCUAGAGUUCGGUAGGGGAGUCUGGAAUUCCUGGUGUAGCGGUGAAAUGCGCAGAUAUCAGGAGGAACACCGGUGGCGAAGGCGGGACUCUGGGCCGAUACUGACGCUGAGGAGCGAAAGCGUGGGGAGCAAACAGG
rnacentral:rRNA from 1 species